GACCGAUUUAUCACAAGAUUUUCUUAAUAUGAUUAAAGCGUUCUUCUGCUGACAGAAUUUUGAGCAAUAUAAUCAUUACCCUAGACAACAAGAGAUUAUCUUACAACAGUCACAAGUAGCACCAAUAAUUUAUAGCAGAAUAGUAUAAAAGAUAGUUUGCACAAGAAAAGCUCGGAUUAAAAAGUAAAAUAUACAUGUAUCACAUAUCAACAAUAACAACAAUCAAUAGGAUUUCAAAUAGCAAGAAAACAUACUACAUUUUAAAUAUCGAUAAAAAUAUAUCACAAUAACUCUUAACAUAAUUCAUAUUAUAACCAGUUUCACCUUGUAAAAAUGUUACAAAUUACACUAAAAGUCGAUCUGGUGGGAAAUUACCUCCCUUUAAUAAACUUGUUGCCAUUCUCAUGGAAACCAGAUAUUUAUGCAUUAGGAAGCCCAUUGCUAUAUGCAAAGCAUGAUUAUAUAACUAAAACUUGUCUUUGUGUUACAAAAAUGAAAAGAAAACCCUUUAAUUGAAAGGUUAUCUAUUUUGUUAUGGGUGUUAAAAAAAUGAAUGUUAAAUAAAGUUAAGCUAUCAAUGUUCUUUAUAAGAUUCAUCACACACAAUUUACAAUCCAACAUUAUAUGUUGUUACAGAACCACACAGAAUAAAACAACAUCAAAUCAUGCUAACAAUGAACAAAAUAAUCUAUUGGGAACUCAAUGGAAAAA
rnacentral:lncRNA from 1 species